rnacentral:tRNA from 1 species
AUUAAAGUGGCAGAAAAAAAUGCCAGGAAUUUAAGCUUCCUUAAUGAAAAAUUUCCUUUAAUA